rnacentral:rRNA from 1 species
GACGAACGCUGGUGGCGUGCUUAACACAUGCAAGUCGAACGGUGAAGCCCAGCUUGCUGGGUGGAUCAGUGGCGAACGGGUGAGUAACACGUGAGCAACCUGCCCCCUACUUCGGGAUAAGCCUUGGAAACGAGGUCUAAUACCGGAUAUGAGCACUUACCGCAUGGUGGGUGUUGGAAAGUUUUUCGGUGGGGGAUGGG